rnacentral:rRNA from 1 species
CCCUUAGAUGUCCUGGGCCGCACGCGUGCUACACUGAGUGUCUGAGAUACGAGUCUGCCUGGUCCGGCAAGGUCUAGGUAAUCGCUAAAAGACACAUCAUGCUUGGGAUAGAUUAUUGCAAAUAUUAAUCUUGAACGAGGAAUUCCUAGUAAGCGCAAGUCAACAGCUUGCGUUGAUUACGUCCCUGCCCUUUGUACACACCGCCCGUCGCUACUACUGAUUGGAUGUUUAAGCGAGGUUCUCGAACUGCUAGCGACUUAGCUUCGGUGAGGUCGCAGUGUGGGAAGUGAACCUAGCUUUGGUGUCUAGAGGAAGUAAAAGUCGUAACA